CUGAACAUGAACCCAGAUAAACCCAGAGAACAGAGUCAUAUCCAAGAGAGACUAUCAAGGAAAAUCAAGACAAAUUGAAAUACAGAGUUGGGUACCCCAGUUCCAGUGGAUACAUUUACAAAAAUACUCCAUCACCUAUGUCUCGUGGACCAUUGCAAAGGUAUGAGAAGAAUCUGGAAGUUUUCUGUGAGAUUCUCCUAGGUAUGUUGGAAGCUGCACUCAUAAAGACUCACCAACAUGACUGCUGAAACACGAGAUGAACAAGGUUAACACCUAUACACAUGUUAAAAAGAAUGAGUAAAACCCAUAAUUUUAUUAA